rnacentral:rRNA from 1 species
GAGUUUGAUCCUGGCUCAGGAUGAACGCUGGCGGCGUGCUUAACACAUGCAAGUCGAACGGGAAUUACUUUAUUGAAACUUCGGUCGAUUUAAUUUAAUUCUAGUGGCGGACGGGUGAGUAACGCGUGGGUAACCUGCCUUAUACAGGGGGAUAACAGUCAGAAAUGGCUGCUAAUACCGCAUAAGCGCACAGAGCUGCAUGGCUCAGUGUGAAAAACUCCGGUGGUAUAAGAUGGACCCGCGUUGGAUUAGCUAGUUGGCAGGGUAACGGCCUACCAAGGCGACGAUCCAUAGCCGGCCUGAGAGGGUGAACGGCCACAUUGGGACUGAGACACGGCCCAGACUCCUACGGGAGGCAGCAGUGGGGAAUAUUGCACAAUGGGGGAAACCCUGAUGCAGCGACGCCGCGUGAAGGAAGAAGUAUCUCGGUAUGUAAACUUCUAUCAGCAGGGAAGAUAGUGACGGUACCUGACUAAGAAGCCCCGGCUAACUACGUGCCAGCCGCCGCGGUAAUUC